CACAGUCCAUGGUUAGCUGGCUUCAUGGAUGCAGAACCAAAGAUAUGGAGGGCUCACUGUGAAGGUGGCCAAAGUAUUGGAGCUUCUUGGUGAAAAUGCAAAUCAGAGACUCUGGGCAUGGGCCCCAGCAAUCUGUGCUUUCUCAAGCCUCCCAGGUGACUCUCGCCAGCCCUUUGGUGGAGUCUACAGAAGAGUAAAACAGUUUUGAGGGAAAGGAAACACAUACCACUUGCUGGGAGAGUUAUGUGAGCGGAGGAUGCCUCCACAUCCCCAGAGAGCUAAAUGGAACCAUAUUGGGCCCUCCUCAUGCCACUCAGCGGAGAUGCUUUUCAAGGGAGUGAAACGUUUUAUUGAAGAAACUCCAAGGAGGGAGGAAAGAAGCUCGGGAGAGGGGGAGCCUGACAGGUCAGCAGAUGGAAACAGCCCCUUUCAUACAUGUGGCUAAAAGCUGGAAGUCCAUCCCUCGGAAGGCAUAGCAGCAGUCCACAGGUCCAGGACGCCUUUCAUCUGCCUCUUUUCAGCUUUGGGCCGAUAGGAACUGAGAAAUUCACAGUUAUCCUGUGAGAAAUAGAAAUGGAGGCCCACUUUUAGUCUCUACUCAGCUGAUAGCAAGUGGGACAGAGCCCCUGGAGUCUGCAAACUUGGACCUUCUAUUUAAUUUUGCCACUUCUGUAAAAUAAGGAUAGAAGAAAUCUUUUUUCCUGAGUGGUUGUGAAGAUUGAAGGAAAUUAUAUAUGGGAACUGUCUGGCGUGUAACAGGUACUCAACAAAUGUCUCUUGCAUGCUCCUUUCUCCCAGGAGUGCACAACACCUGUGUGGUCAAAAUAUCAUGGACUAGUCAGUCAUUUAUUCCUUAGGUCAAUUUUCUCAAGAGAAAAAAACAAAAAAGGAAGUAAUGAGACCCUCUUCUCCUGGGAUGAUAGGAAACCACAAAUGUGAGCUCCCAACUAAAUCAAUGGAUUAUUAGUCAGCAAUAAUAUUUGCUAACUAAUAUUAUAGUUAUAAUAGCAAAUAUUAUAUGACAUAUUUGGUCCUCUACACUUCCCAACCCCUGCAGUUAUGUGGGACCAUGAGACCAACUCUAGCAGUGAUAUGUGAGCAGAUAUGAUAUAUGUCAAUCCCAGCUCAGAAGGCAAAAGGCCAUGUGUGGUUCUUUAGCCUCUCUCUUUUCUUGCCAAGGUGACUGAGGACUUGUCAAGGAGGACUCAUGUGCUAAAUGCUGAAGUUACAAGAUGAUGCAACCUCGUCAAUUUGGGUCUCUGAGUGACAAAGUGGAACACAGCCCCUGAACAACACUUAAAUUUGACAUGUAGUAUAAAUGAGAAAUAAACUUUUGCUUUGGUCUUAAGUCACUGAGAUCUGGAAAUUGUUACUAUGACAUAACCUGUUCUAGCCUGAUUUCCAAGUCUCACAUCUAGCCUAAUGUCAACACACCACAGUUAAUAAAUUAUCUUUUAACAAAUCAAAUAAAUAUCUCUAACCCGGACUGCUUCCCAGUGUUUUUCAUAUUUAUUCUUUCCAGUCUGAUGCUGGACAAAUCCAUUUGUCUGCACUGACCUCUCUUCUAG